rnacentral:rRNA from 1 species
CCCUUAGAUGUCCGGGGCCGCACGCGCGCUACACUGAAGGAAUCAGCGUGGCUUUCUCCCUGACCCGAAAGGCUUGGGAAACCCGUUGAAUCUCCCUCGUGAUAGGGAUUGGGGCUUGAAAUUGUUCCCCAUGAACGAGGAAUUCCCAGUAAGCGCGAGUCAUAAGCUCGCGUUGAUUACGUCCCUGCCCUUUGUACACACCGCCCGUCGCUACUACCGAUUGAACGGUUUAGUGAGGGCCUCGGAUUGGUCUCGGCCCGCUCUUUACCGGGCGGCGCCGUUGGUCGAGAAGACGCUCGAACUUGAUCGUUUAGAGGAAGUAAAAGUCGUAACA